UGGGGGGAUAUUGCACAAUGGGGGGAACCCUGAUGCAGCGACGCCGCGUGGGCGAUGGAGCGCCUCGGCGCGUAAAGCCCUAUCAGCAGGGAAGAAGAUGACGGUACCUGACUAAGAAGCCCCGGCUAAAUACGUGCC
rnacentral:rRNA from 1 species